UAGCUCUUGUUUCUCUUAAGUCAUGCAUAAAUCUUUUGCCUUUUAUUAAAGAUUUCCGUGGAGAGGAACAUCAAUGAGUUUGAUGCCUUUUGGCUAAGAUCAAGUGUUCUCU